GACGAACGCUGGCGGCGUGCUUAACACAUGCAAGUCGAACGGAAAGGCCCUGCUUUUGUGUGGUGCUCGAGUGGCGAACGGGUGAGUAACACGUGAGUAACCUGCCCUUGACUUUGGGAUAACUUCAGGAAACUGGGGCUAAUACCGGAUAUGAGCUCCUGCUGCAUGGUGUGGGUUGGAAAGUUUCGGCGGUUGGGGAUGGACUCGCGGCUUAUCAGCUUGUUGGUGUGGUAGUGGCUUACCAAGGCUUUGACGGGUAGCCGGCCUGAGAGGGUGAACGGCCACAUUGGGACUGAGAGACGGACCAGACGCCUACGGGAGGCAGCAGGGGGGAAUAUUGCACAAUGGGCGGAAGCCUGAUGCAGCAACGCCGCGUGCGGGAUGACGGCCUUCGGGUUGUAAACCGCUUUCGCCUGUGACGAAGCGUGAGUGACGGUAAUGGGUAAAGAAGCACCGGCUAACUACGUG
rnacentral:rRNA from 1 species